GCAUCUUCAACUCAGACCAUUUGUCUGUGGCAUUCCAGGUUGUGGCAUGAGAUAGAGAUAACCAUGAGAAAACCAGAUGCCAUGUUUAUACCCAUGGGGAUUUUGAGGAGUUGGAUGAACAAUUCAGGCAGAGGCCAAGGGGUAGCCGGAAGAGGAAGUCCCCACCUGUAGAAGCAGUGCUGCGGAAGAGGGUGACUCCACCAAGUCAGUCAGAUUCCAUCUUGAGUCAAGGAUCCGAGUACCUUUCUUGGCUGCUCUCAGCAGGUGCUGAGGAUCAGCAGUGAGAUACUCAGCACUAUUACCUUUCCCAGUUUAAUUAGCAUGUUAGGUUAUAGAAACGAAGCCAAAGAGUAGUAUAUAAUCCUUUCUGCAUUGAAGCUCAUGGUACUCUAAUAAACACCAAUGUUAACAUUCUUUAGGUUAUGUGUAGUUCGAGAAAGUAU